UACGUAGGUGGCAAGCGUUGUCCGGAUUUACUGGGCGUAAAGAGCGCGCAGGCGGUCGGCCAAGUCGAGUGUGAAAGCCCCCGGCUCAACUGGGGAGGGUCAUUCGAUACUGGUCGACUCGAAGGCAGGAGAGGGAAGCGGAAUUCCCGGUGUAGUGGUGAAAUGCGUAGAUAUCGGAAGGAACGCCGGUGGCGAAAGCGAGUCGCUGGACCUCUUCUGACGCUGAGGCGCGAAAGCCAGGGGAGCGAACGGG
rnacentral:rRNA from 1 species